rnacentral:lncRNA from 10 species
CAGGCACCUGUAGUCCCAGCUACUCGGAAGACUGAGGUGGGAGGAUUGCUUGAGUCUGUGAGUUCGAGGCUGCAGUGAGCUAUGAUCGCACCACAGCACUCCAGCCUGGGCAACAGGUGAGGCCCUGCCUCAAAAAAAUAAAUAAAAGAACCAUGGUGUCAGCAUCUGCUUCUUGUGGUGAAGGCUUCAGGCUGCUUCUACUCAUGGCAGAAGGCCGAGGGAACCACACGUGUGUGGGGAUCAAGUGGCAGGAGGGGAAGCGAGAGAGAGACAGAGAGAGAGAAGUGCCAGCCUCCCUUUAACACCCAUCUCUCAUGGGCGUCAAUGGGGAGAACUCAUUCACCCGCCAGGGAGGACAUUAAUCUAUUCAUGAGGGACCUGCCCCCAUGGCCCAAACACACCUCACAUCAGGCCCACCUCCAACCUUGGGAAUCAAAGUUCU